AAGAAAUAAACUUGAUGGGUUGUAGCUGGCUCUAACUUGAGUAUGUGCACGCCUGUCAUUUUUAUCUUUCCACCAUGUGCACUUUGCAUAGGGUCUGAAAAUCAAGUAAAUUCUUGAUGUCUUGGGAACUGCUGUGCUUCACAGCCGGCUUUUCCUGUCUUCAGGCUCUAUGAUUUUUUAUAUAUACACCAUGUAUGUUAAAGAACGCAUUUACAGGCUUGCAAAAGCCUAUAAACUUUAUA
rnacentral:misc_RNA from 1 species